rnacentral:rRNA from 1 species
AUUGAACGCUAGCGGGAUGCUUUACACAUGCAAGUCGAACGGCAGCGCGGACUUCGGUCUGGCGGCGAGUGGCGAACGGGUGAGUAAUGUAUCGGAACGUGCCCAGUAGCGGGGGAUAACUACGCGAAAGCGUAGCUAAUACCGCAUCCGCCCUACGGGGGAAAGCAGGGGAUCGUAAGACCUUGCACUAUUGGAGCGGCCGAUCUCGGAUUAGCUAGUUGGUGAGGUAACGGCUCCCCAAGGCGACGAUCCGUAGCUGGUUUGAGAGGACGACCAGCCACACUGGGACUGAGACACGGCCCAGACUCCGACAGGAGGCAGCAGUGGGGAAUUUUGGACAAUGGGGGGAACCCUGAUCCAGCCAUCCCGCGUGUGCGAUGAAGGCCUGCGGGUUGUAAAGCAGUUUUGGCAGGAAAGAAACGUCGCGGGCUAAAACCCCGUGGAACGGACGGUACCGGCAGAAUAGGCACCGGCUAACUACUG